rnacentral:rRNA from 1 species
UGCGUAGGCGGGCUAAUAAGUCAGUGGUGAAAUCUUCCGGCUCAACCGGGAACCUGCCAUUGAUACUGUUAGUCUUGAGUUCGGUUGAGGUAGGCGGAAUGUGUAAUGUAGCGGCGAAAUGCUUAGAUAUUACACAGAACACCAAUUGCGUAGGCAGCUUACUAGACCGACACUGACGCUGAGGCACGAAAGCGUGGGGAGCGAACAGGAUUAGAUACCCUGGUAGUCC